GCCAGUGUAGUGUAGUGGUUUGAGUUCUGGACUAUGACUCUGGAGACAAGGGUUUGAAUACCUGCUCGGCCA